GAGCAAUUGAUCACAAUUGUUUGAGUGCAACCAUCCAGCCAAUUCCUUACCCACUGAAUGAUUCACCCAUCAAAUCCAUGUCUCUCCAGUUCAGAGACAAGAAUGUUGAGCAGCACACUGUCCAAUGCUUUGCACAUGUCCAGAAUGGUUAUCCUUCCUCUUUUCCAGUCAGCAGGGACUCCAUCAGACUGGGGAUAUUCACUGAAUAUACAUCCACGUUCCCAAAGGAUGACAUGGCAAAAUGUUAAGUAGUAGAUGAACAGAAGCAAGAGGAAGUCGGCUUUUCCAUAGCACUAGCUUCUGAAAACUAUAUAGUUUCCCACUAAUCUGCUUUUAUAGCACUCUAUACCUGUUAUCCAUGGAUUAAUCUCUCUAUCUUCAUUUUUCUAUGUACACCUAGUUAAUUAAGGAUAGCCUGUUAAUUUACUACUGCUGUAUGAGAACAUUAGAGAUCACUAUCUUUUAACAGUGCUAAUAUAUUAGCCUGCCUAAGUGCAAAUAUUUAAGAUGUAUCUUCUAUGUGCUUACGCUUUCCAAUUGCAAAAUGGCAUUAUGCAAUUCUGUCUUUGGUAAUCUUUUUAAAAAGUUGAAAUAAAUAAUAGGAUCAGA